GAAGCAGAGAUGCAUCAGGUGCCCUUCGGGGAAAGUUGAGACAGGUGGUGCAUGGUUGUCGUCAGCUCGUGUCGUGAGAUGUUGGGUUAAGUCCCGCAACGAGCGCAACCCUUGACUUUAGUUGCCAGCAGGUUGAGCUGGGCACUCUAGAGUGACUGCCGGUGACAAACCGGAGGAAGGUGGGGAUGACGUCAAAUCAUCAUGCCCCUUAUGACCUGGGCUACACACGUACUACAAUGGCCGGUACAACGGGAAGCGAAGCCGCGAGGUGGAGCCAAUCCCAGCAAAGCCGGUCUCAGUUCGGAUUGCAGGCUGCAACUCGCCUGCAUGAAGUCGGAAUUGCUAGUAAUCGCGGAUCAGCAUGCCGCGGUGAAUACGUUCCCGGGUCUUGUACACACCGCCCGUCACACCACGAGAGUUUACAACACCCGAAGUCGGUGGGGUAA
rnacentral:rRNA from 1 species